rnacentral:rRNA from 1 species
GAUGAACGCUGGCGGCGUGCCUAAUACAUGCAAGUCGAGCGAACGGACGAGAAGCUUGCUUCUCUGAUGUUAGCGGCGGACGGGUGAGUAACACGUGGAUAACCUACCUAUAAGACUGGGAUAACUUCGGGAAACCGGAGCUAAUACCGGAUAAUAUUUUGAACCGCAUGGUUCAAAAAUGAAAGACGGUCUUGCUGUCACUUAUAGAUGGAUCCGCGCUGCAUUAGCUAGUUGGUAAGGUAACGGCUUACCAAGGCAACGAUGCAUAGCCGACCUGAGAGGGUGAUCGGCCACACUGGAACUGAGACACGGUCCAGACUCCUACGGGAGGCAGCAGUAGGGAAUCUUCCGCAAUGGGCGAAAGCCUGACGGAGCAACGCCGAGUGAGUGAUAAAGGUCUUCGGAUCGUAAAACUCUGUUAUUAGGGAAGAACAUAUGUGUAAGUAACUGUGCACAUCUUGACGGUACCUAAUCAGAAAGCCACGGCUAACUACGUG